rnacentral:rRNA from 1 species
CACGUAGGGGGCAAGCGUUGUCCGGAUUUAUUGGGCGUAAAGAGCUCGUAGGCUGUUCGAUAAGUCGGGUGUGAAACCUCCAGGCUCAACCUGGAGACGCCACCCGAUACUGUCAUGACUAGAGUCCGGUAGGGGAGCGUGGAAUUCCAGGUGUAGCGGUGAAAUGCGUAGAUAUCUGGAGGAACACCGGUGGCGAAGGCGGCGUUCUGGACUGCAACUGACACUGAGGAACGAAAGCCAGGGGAGCAAACGGG